rnacentral:rRNA from 1 species
UAAUGUAUGGGGAUCUGCCCGAUAGAGGGGGAUAACUACUGGAAACGGUGGCUAAUACCGCAUAAUGUCUACGGACCAAAGCAGGGGCUCUUCGGCCUUGCACUAUCGGAUGAACCCAUAUGGGAUUAGCUAGUAGGUGGGGUAAAGGCUCACCUAGGCGACGAUCUCUAGCUGGUCUGAGAGGAUGAUCAGCCACACUGGGACUGAGACACGGCCCAG